CUCCUCCAGCUCUCCCAUUGUCUUCUGCAACUCUUUCCGCUUAUCCUGAAAAAUAUUUGUGAGCAGAUCAAGUGCCAUAUUGAUGGGGAUAAGGAAGACAAAGAUGAGAAAGAUUAUGCAGCCUUUUGACGCCAAGUUUGCACUGGUUAUGCAGUCAGACAGUAGGGAGAAGACUGGUAAUACAAAGUAGCAACUUAUUUCUGUCCAUCCAACAUUGGGAAGUGUUCAACUUAGCCUUUCUGCAGCAGUGAGGAAAGUGGGUCAAUGGAUAGAUACAGCUAAAAAGCCUUUGGGUUCCGGACGCGUACGAGGCCUCCGGGAAGUAGACCACUUCUUGGACCUCGUUAGCCGGACGGUCGGAAUUCUUGGCGAAGAUGAUGUGCCCAUCCGCGGUGGCUGGGGGUAAGGCGAUGAACGUGUCACAUGACUUGGGACAGCGAUGUGAUUGGUCAGCCAUCCUGGGGUGGACACAGGAGAAAAGUCAUGAUCAGAACGGCCACAGAAUCAUGGCUCCCCAGUGGAAUACUGGAGAUGGGCUCAUAGCAGGUCUUUAUGGAUAUGACAGCAGUGUAUAGGCCUAUUUACUUUAUGACCAGACUUUUGUAUGGACAGUGGAGAAAGCUACAUUUUUAGUAUAUAUAUUUCCAGAUUAGUACAAUAAAACAUAUCCACACACAUAUAUUAUAGGCAUACAUGUUCACAUAUCAUGCUUCAAAAGUGAAGCAAUGAGUGUGUGUGUGUGUG